CCGUGCUAGGCGGGGAGUUCGUGGUGCCCUAUACCCCAGAUCCACUUUUAGGGGGCUGAAUUCCCAUCCGAGGCCCGAUUUGCCACUGUUAGAGCGCCUCGCACGUGGUGUUGUGAGUCGGGUCCUUAAGCAACGGGAUCUUCGUGAAACGAGUCAGGUCCGUAAAGGAAGCAGCUCUCAGCGGAGCCUCCCGUGUGCCUUGAGGUAGCCCGGCUUCUAGCCGGCGACGAGACACGCGGGCAGUGGCUCCGGGUCGACGGUGGGUGCACGG
rfam:Actinobacteria bacterium IMCC26256, complete genome.